rnacentral:rRNA from 1 species
UGAACGCUGGCGGUAGGCCUACCAUAUGCAAGUCGAACGGCAGCACAGUAAGAGCUUGCUCUUACGGGUGGCGAGUGGCGGACGGGUGAGGAAUACAUCGGAAUCUACUUUUUCGUGGGGGAUAACGUAGGGAAACUUACGCUAAUACCGCAUACGACCUACGGGUGAAAGCAGGGGAUCUUCGGACCUUGCGCGAUUGAAUGAGCCGAUGUCGGAUUAGCUAGUUGGCGGGGUAAAGGCCCACCAAGGCGACGAUCCGUAGCUGGUCUGAGAGGAUGAUCAGCCACACUGGAACUGAGACACGGUCCAGACUCCUACGGGAGGCAGCAGUGGGGAAUAUUGGACAAUGGGCGCAAGCCUGAUCCAGCCAUACCGCGUGGGUGAAGAAGGCCUUCGGGUUGUAAAGCCCUUUUGUUGGGAAAGAAAAGCAGCAGGUUAAUACCCCGCUGUUCUGACGGUACCCAAAGAAUAAGCACCGGCUAACUUCGUG